CAUAAUCGAUUAUAUCAGUAGAAAUUACAAUGUUUAUCAAUUUCCUACUACAUUCAAAAACUACAAGUUGCUUUUUAAGUAUUCUCCUAUUACAAACAAGAAUUACAAUUUGCAGCAUCAUCAAAACUUGUCUUCAGGUUUUACUAAUACUCCCUUAUUGGUAACAAUCUCCCCCUUUUUGAUGAUGAUCAAAAAUCAUCUUUUAAAAGCAACUCAGAUUUACCUGCAAUACAUACAAACUAAAAACAGCCACAAAGUUAGCAGUACCUGUUCAAGUUUAUUUCUCCCCUUAAUAAAUUUCUUCUCCCCCUUUUUUUAUCAGAAGCAAAAAGAAUAAUGAAAGAAAAAAAAAAUCUCCCCCUUAAAAUGAGCUCCCCCUCAACAAAGGCAUCAAAUAUCCAAAAUAAGCUCAUUAUAUUAAAGAUAAAGGAAAUUACAUGAAAAUGCAUAAAGAUUAAGUCUAAAUUCCACAAACAAUAACAAUCAAACUUAGAAUCCUAAAACAACACUAGAAUUCAGGACUAGGNGAACGUUCAGUAGGUGGAAUUUUUAGAUGAGACUCAAUGUUAUCUAUGCGAACAUCAAGCUCAAGAAAUUGAUCAACGAGAUACUCAUCAANAGAUUUCUGCCACUCAUGAAUGUCAUCAAAAUGAGUUUUCUGUGCUAUACUCAUAUCCUCUAACUGUUUAGAUAAUCUUGCAAAGUGUUCUUCCAUAGAAGUUGAGGAAGAAGAGGGUAUGUUAGAGGGUCCAGCAUCAGAUGGAGCAGCA
rnacentral:lncRNA from 1 species